AGUAGCACCUCAGACAUCUCUUGAAUCCGUGCAAGACUACACACGGAAACACCCUGCACACCACAGUGCUACGAAUGGCCGUGCAACAGGAGCAGGUCAGUAGCACCGCCCUCUGCAGAGCACGGCAAGCACGGGGAGCAACGGGGGGAUAAUGGCGGCCUGAGAAGCAAAAUUCUAGUCACUGGUAUGCAGCCCAGAUUCCUGCCACUGCUGCAAAGGAAGCACACAAGCCACUACAGCAACAGCCUUAUGAAGAUGCUACUACAUGCUUGGAUUAUGAAUACAAUAUGAAGUGUUUUGCUUUAUAAGGUGGUGUCUGAGACUAAUGAGGAACUUGGCCUGUGCUGAUUCAAACAACAUGAGCAGAAAAGUCUGAAAAAGAAGAGCCAGAAGGAUGGAUGGAGACCUGCAGACGCAGAGCAGCAACCAGCUUUUCUCUGCUUCCUCUUGCAGACAGCAUCUACUUUCUGUCAUGGACAGCAUCUGUUUCCUCUUAUGACUGAAAACAUCAGCUGAGUAAAAACAUCAGUUUGAGUAAUUCUACUGGUUGAAAGCUAUUGGUUUGAGCAGCUCACUGAGGAGGGAUCACUGAAUCUUCUGGAAUCAGCUAACUGCACACACACAAGGGAGUUCCCAUCCCAAGGAUGUUCCUGGACAAACUGAACUAUAUACAAGUGAGCACACAUUUACCUUUCAUGAUCCGCCACCCAAUAAAGCUCCUCAAUUCAAGACAACGCUGGAUCCAAGUUGUGGUGAAAUCUUUUUUUUCUCUCUCCCUCUCUCUUCUCUAUAUAGUUGCUGAAUUGUGUGAUUAUUCUUGCUUGCAAAACUGCAAUAGUUUUUACAUGUUCCAAAUAGUAUACGUAUAGUAUUAUGGACUAGAAAGCA